GUGUGUACAGUAUUGAUCUCAUCCAGCCAGAGUCAAAGGUUGUGCAGCCUGGACAGUCUUUGACCAUCACCUGUCAGGUCUCUGGUUAUUCUCUGACUAGUAGCAGCUAUGCAACAGGUUGGAUCAGACAGUGUGAAGGAAAACCAAUGGACUGGAUUUUUCAUCAGUAUGGAGGAAGCAGUAGCAACUUAUAUCAAAAUAACGCUCUGAAGAACAGGUUCAGCUACAGCAGAGACAUGUCUGCUGGAACAGUGACUAUAACAGGACAGAAUCCGCAGCCUGAGGACACAGCUGUUUAUUACUGUGUACGU